rnacentral:rRNA from 1 species
UGGGGAAUAUUGGACAAUGGGCGAAAGCCUGAUCCAGCAAUGCCGCGUGAGUGAUGAAGGCCUGAGGGUUGUAAAGCUCUUUUACCAGGGAUGAUAAUGACAGUACCUGGAGAAUAAGCUCCGGCUAACUCCGUGCCAGCAGCCGCGGUAAUACGAAGGGGGCGAGCGUUGUUCGGAAUUACUGGGCGUAAAGCGCACGUAGGCGGAGUUGUAAGUCGGGGGUGAAAUCCCGAGGCUCAACCUCGGAACUGCCUUUGAUUCUCGCGAUCUUGCGUUCGUAAGAGGUUGGUGGAACAGCUAGUGUAGAUGUGACAUUCGUAGAUAUUCGGAAGAACACCAGUGGCGAAGGCGACAUACUGGCUCAUUACUGACGCUGAGGCUCGAAAGCGUGGGGAGCAAACA